AUUGACAGUGAACUGUCGGAUGAAUUUUGACAGGUAAAUGAACCUGACGGACUUGUAAUUUCAACUUUACUUGUACUUGUAAUUUGUUGACUUGUAACUUGUAACUUGUAGCUAAUAUUAUUAGUCUGAUUAUGCUACAGGGCCCUGGUUUGCGAUUUCCGGUUGUUUGCUAACCCCGGAUGUUGAUUCAUUCAAUACUUGCGGUGGAGGAAACUCCGGAGGAUUUGGUACCGAUAUGGUUGGCGAUGCUGGAUGUUUCGACAUCUUCACGCCGUAGUUUCUGCGCUGCCAUCUGAUAACAGCGUUGUCGUUGUUGCUACUAUAGCCGCGACUGGCAACACUUUCUCUUCGAACCAAAUGACAGCCAACGUCAUGAAUAUGACACAUGAAAGCCAUCUUUGUAAACAUAACGAACAAACGUGAUAGUGCGGUUAAACGAAUUGUUUCUUAAAAGUUAAUUUCGAAGCUUAUUACAAACAAAGGUAUUAUUUAAUAGGUUAACAUACAUGAACUUAUCUGCUAACAUGAAUUUCAAAUCUACUAGCUAAAAUACCGCGAAUCCGUGAGAUUAGUCCGAUUCAUAGUGCGUGAAUUUGCGCUAACAUACAGCUUGAGUGGUCGUUAAGCAAGGAAUAGACUCCAAGGAGCUCACUAAAUUCGAUUAAAAUCGAGGGAACACUAUUUUCUUGAAGCGCUUAAUAAAACUUGCUAUCAAGAAGAGUGUUUGCCUGUGUAGUUCUACGAGAACAGUCGUAUUCCUGUUUCAGCGGCUUGAAAACACAGAGAUCCAUUGACUGUAGAAGGUGGUUAGUGUGCAAGGGAAGCUUUAAAAUGACAACGUUUUCUUUCAAAGCCAACUCGAUGAUGUCCAGCGAAACAUGUGAGGAAUGACCAUCAUAAAUCAAUACCACUGGACGAGCUUUUCCAAUUCCAGUCAGAAAACUUCGUCGGAAAUAAUUGGAAAAAAAUACUGCUCUCCAUUCAAACGUUUUCAGCAGCAGCAUACGUCAUGCCAGAGAAUUCAUCUUUUUCCUUAGCCAUCCAGCUGUCCCAUAGAUUUUUGCCUCGGAAGAUGAUAAGGCGACCAAGCUUGUCUCCGAACACAUAUCCUUCCAUGAGAACAGUGUAGUUUUCCCUUCCGGGGCCUGCAGUCAGCCUGUUUGCAGCCCUUCCCUUGGCACCGACCACUUUGAUGCGACUUGGAUUCAAACAAAAGCUUGUUUCGUCGAUAUUGUAGAUUCUCUCUGGAGGAACGUUACGAGUAACCUCUUUGAGUAGCUGAAAAUAUUCGGAGAUCACGAACGAAUCAGCAGCUCGUUUCCUGGCAAC